rnacentral:lncRNA from 1 species
GGUAAUCAGGAUGGCAGUGAGGCAGGCACUUGCUUGCAGAAGAACAGGCCUAGUUUUUUAAGAAGCCACAAAAGUGUCUUUGGAUGAUUAGGAUCUAAGGGGCCAACAGCUUUGCAAUAACAGCAUAAAUAUUGUGGGCUGGAUGGACAGGCACCAAAUGGGGACAUUCCAUCCUGCUGUGUGAUGAGAAAGCUGCCACUUUUGAGGCCUUCCAAAACAAAUCAACACUCCAUAUGCCAGAAGGAAAAGCCCAGGAAAGACCUAUUCCAACUGGAGAUGAUUGCUGUGUUCUUGUUUCUAGGAAUACGAAGGGAGAAUGAAACAAAACUGCUCCGCUUAGGGAACUUGGAAAGGAAAUUGAAAAGGCAAGGCACAGGCUGGAAGAAAAUAUUUGAAAAAGAUUUAUGUGAACUUCUUUCUGGAUUAUACAAAAUAUUUUUAGAUAUUCUUACAACUCUAAAAUAAGAUAACUCCUUAAAAAUCUAAAUUCUACCAAAGGAGAGAUAAAGAUGACGAAUACAUUCAAAGAUGCUGAAAAUCACUUAUUUAUUAUUAGGAAGUUACAAGCUAAAGCAUAAUGAGAUACCACUACAACCUACUAAACUGACUAAAAUUAAUCAGACUAACCAGGUGUUGGCAAGAAACA